UGGGGAAUAUUGGACAAUGGGCGAAAGCCUGAUCCAGCCAUGCCGCGUGUGUGAAGAAGGUCUUCGGAUUGUAAAGCACUUUAAGUUGGGAGGAAGGGCAGUAAGCGAAUACCUUGCUGUUUUGACGUUACCGACAGAAUAAGCACCGGCUAACUCUGUGCCAGCAGCCGCGGUAAUACAGAGGGUGCAAGCGUUAAUCGGAAUUACUGGGCGUAAAGCGCGCGUAGGUGGUUCGUUAAGUUGAAUGUGAAAGCCCCGGGCUCAACCUGGGAACUGCAGCCAAAACUGGCGAGCUAGAGUAGGGCAGAGGGUGGUGGAAUUUCCUGUGUAGCGGUGAAAUGCGUAGAUAUAGGAAGGAACACCAGUGGCGAAGGCGACCACCUGGGCUCAUACUGACACUGAGGUGCGAAAGCGUGGGGAGCAAACAGG
rnacentral:rRNA from 1 species